CUCCCUUCCAGGGUUACCCUGCUGAUGAGCCCGUGCAAGUCGGGCGAAAAGAA
rnacentral:hammerhead_ribozyme from 1 species